UCCCCUUCCCAUUCUCUCUGCAAACCCUAGACGCCGCCACACAAACUAACCCUAACCCUGUCGAUCCUUGUUGGUCUCCAUGGCUUCUCAAGCCAUGUAACCCUCACACUCACCUCUUAUGGAUCAUGCAUGCCUUUCCUUAGAAGGUUAGAGGCCAGACCUCGAGGUUCUUCUUUCAGACCCUCAGUGAUUCGAGGAUUCUGGCCAUCAAAGUCCUUGCUCCGGUGGUUCUUGGUCUUUUGUGCCACAUCAUGACAUUAUCCGACUUAGAUUGGAUAUUUUUGAAGCCUUUCUCAUCUCUAGGGUUCCUCUGGAACCCUAACUAUCGAGGUUCUUUCCGAUUAUUUUUAGAUCUGAUACAUGUUUGCAC
rnacentral:lncRNA from 1 species